rnacentral:rRNA from 1 species
GACCUCAAAUCAGGUAGGACUACCCGCUGAACUGA